rnacentral:rRNA from 1 species
UACGGGGGGGGUAAGCGUUGUUCGGAAUUACUGGGCGUAAAGCGUGCGCAGGCGGUUUGUAAGUCUGACGUGAAAUCCCCGGGCUCAACCUGGGAAUUGCGUUGGAGACUGCAAGGCUGGAGUCUGGCAGAGGGGGGUAGAAUUCCACGUGUAGCAGUGAAAUGCGUAGAGAUGUGGAGGAACACCGAUGGCGAAGGCAGCCCCCUGGGUCAAGACUGACGCUCAUGCACGAAAGCGUGGGAGCAA